CUGAGAUGCUCCGAGUGCCACUCGGGAGGGCGAGACCUGGUCUCCGAGGCAACCAUUUGAAUGCCCUCACGCGGUGAGAAUUUAUCGACCGUUUGCCAUGCGAUGGAAGGAGAGUGGCUGGGAGCAUUCUAGGAUUCAAUACGUCAGUCUUAUCUCUCAAAAAGGUCAGCACGGCACAAGAAGCUGUUGUUACCUCAGAAGCCAGCCAACCAUUACAUAAUCCAGACUUUAUCAUGGAGGAGAUGGUAGAAAAUGUUACUGACUGGUGCUAUUUGGAUUGCUGUCAUACCUUGUCCAUAGACUGCUUACAGGCUUCCAGAUUCCACACAGCAUGCAUUUCCACGACUGGGGAGUCCUGUCCCACCUCUGACCCACGGAAGUUCCACUCUCUUCCAUUUCU